rnacentral:lncRNA from 1 species
AUAGCUAGGCAUGAAUCCUGGCGCUCCUUUCAUUUCCGAGGCAGCGUCGUCUUGAAAAGUACCUUUAGAUGUGAGGUUGGCUACUACUGGAUUAUUCUGAAGAGGGUAGCUAUUAUUACUUCGCAGUUCUGCUGAGCUGUGCAAGGGGAAGUUCAUGAUUGAUGAAGACUGUGAAGCUGGAUUAUUAUAUCCCAUUGGUCUGUUGCUUUCGUCCAUACCAUUUCUCGACAUGAUACCGCCAGCAAGGGUAUUUGACAUGAUCGGCUGACCUACAGUCGAAGGAAUCCUAGGAACUUGGUUGGCUACAGUAUGAUCAUUUAGCAUCUGUGCUCUAGACUGUGGUUGAGA